CACAGUAAACCAGACAGACAGAGAGGAAAAGCGACCCAGAUAACAAGCGUUAUCACUCCACAGCGUUUGACUGGAUAACAGGCUGUCGUAGAGGGAAUGAAUCUCAGAGCCUCAUCCACAGGGAGCCUCCCGGCAAUCUGAGGAUUUUUUUUGUGAGGAUUCCUUGAUUGAGAGGAGGAUUCUGUGGGAAUAUUGGUGUCGGAAGCUGGAAUACUGUGCCAUGAGUGGGAAUAGGAGGCGGAAGAGGGAUUGCUGAAGCAUGGAGCAGGCAAAAGGGCGGAGAGAUGGGCUCUCUUCAUCCAGUGAGAACCCUCGGCCGGUGGUCCGGAGCGGGACAGAUGGGCUGGGCGUGUCCUGGCAGGGUCCACGCACGCUGGUGCUCCAAAAGAACUCUCAGGGCUUCGGCUUUACUCUGCGUCACUUCAUCGUUUACCCGCCAGAGUCCGCUCUGCACACCACUCUCAAGGUGAGGAGAAUAAAAGCUGUCACAAAAUUCAAAUAUAAGAACACAGGACAGAAAAACAUUCAGUAAGAUGCAAGCUAAACAAACUAUCCCUGUCACAAGUAGUGAAGUAUAGUAUAAUAAUGUCGUUCCC
rnacentral:lncRNA from 1 species